rnacentral:rRNA from 1 species
CCGGCUCUAGAGAUAGAGUCUUCCCCUUCGGGGGACAAAGUGACAGGUGGUGCAUGGUUGUCGUCAGCUCGUGUCGUGAGAUGUUGGGUUAAGUCCCGCAACGAGCGCAACCCUUAAGCUUAGUUGCCAUCAUUAAGUUGGGCACUCUAAGUUGACUGCCGGUGACAAACCGGAGGAAGGUGGGGAUGACGUCAAAUCAUCAUGCCCCUUAUGAUUUGGGCUACACACGUGCUACAAUGGACAAUACAAAGGGCAGCUAAACCGCGAGGUCAAGCAAAUCCCAUAAAGUUGUUCUCAGUUCGGAUUGUAGUCUGCAACUCGACUACAUGAAGCUGGAAUCGCUAGUAAUCGUAGAUCAGCAUGCUACGGUGAAUACGUUCCCGGGUCUUGUACACACCGCCCGUCACACCACGAGAGUUUGUAACACCCGAAGCCGGUGGAGUAACCAUUUAUGGAGCUAGCCGUCGAAGGUGGGACAAAUGAUUGGGGUGAAGUCGUAAAGGGGUAAACCGGUAA